rnacentral:rRNA from 1 species
ACAUGUAUCAGCAUUUAGGUUACCCUUUGUUGAUCUGUCUGAGCUCAAAAGCUACGCAGAACCUGGUUAGUACUUAGGUGUGAGACUGCCUGGCAGUAUCAGGUGAUACAGGUU